CGGGCUCGAACGGCAGCUGCAUGGAUCAGAGAUGGUUCAGUCUUCGGACAGUUGUCGAGGUGCUGCAUGGUUGUCGUCAGCUCGUGCCGUGAGGUGUCGGCUUAAGUGCCAUAACGAGCGCAACCCUUGCCGUCAGUUGCCAUCAGGUGAAGCUGGGGACUCUGGCGGGACUGCCACCGCAAGGUGUGAGGAAGGGGGGGAUGACGUCAAAUCAGCACGGCCCUUACGUCCGGGGCGACACACGUGUUACAAUGGCAGGUACAGAGGGAAGCUACCCGGCGACGGGAUGCAGAUCUCGAAAACCUGUCUCAGUUCGGAUUGGAGUCUGCAACUCGACUCCAUGAAGUUGGAUUCGCUAGUAAUCGCGCAUCAGCCAUGGCGCGGUGAAUACGUUCCCGGGCC
rnacentral:rRNA from 1 species